ACAGAGGCCAGGCUCUCAAGCAGACGUGUGGCCUGAUGGCAGUAGAGAGAGACCUGGGAUGCAGAGGCCAAGUGAUGGGAAACAGAAAGGCUGAGUCAUGAAAGAUGGAGAAGCAGAAUGAGGAGGGAUGGAGAUGUCAGUAAUCGGAUGUGGAUGAGUGUGCCCGAAGCCCCCCACCCUGCACCUACGGCCGGUGUGAGAACACAGAAGGCAGCUUCCAGUGUGUCUGCCCCAUGGGCUUUCAACCCAAUGCUGCUGGCUCCGAGUGCGAGGAUGUGGAUGAGUGUGAGAACCACCUCGCAUGCCCUGGGCAGGAGUGUGUGAACUCGCCCGGCUCCUUCCAGUGCAGGGCCUGUCCUUCUGGCCACCACCUGCACCGUGGCAGAUGCACUGAUGUGGACGAAUGCAGUUCGGGUGCCCCUCCCUGUGGUCCCCACGGCCACUGCACUAACACCGAAGGCUCCUUCCGCUGCAGCUGCGCGCCAGGCUACCGGGCGCCGUCGGGUCGGCCCGGGCCCUGCGCAGACGUGAACGAGUGCCUGGAGGGCGAUUUCUGCUUCCCUCACGG
rnacentral:sRNA from 1 species